AUUGAACGCUGGCGGCAGGCCUAACACAUGCAAGUCGAACGGAGCGGCGGACGGGGGAGUAAUGCCUAGGAAUCUGCCUGGUCGCGGGGGAUAACGUCCGGUAACGGGCGCUAAUACCGCAUCCUAUCAGAUGAGCCUAGGUCGGAGUAGCUAGUUGGUGGGGUAAAGGCCUACCAAGGCGACGAUCCGUAACUGGUCUGAGAGGAUGAUCAGUCACACUGGAACUGAGACACGGUCCAGACUCCUACGGGAGGCAGCAGUGGGGAAUAUUGGACAAUGGGGGAAAGCCUGAUCCAGCCAUGCCGCGUGUAUGAAGAAGGUCUUCGGAUUGUAAAGCACUUUAAGUUGGGAAGCGUUACCAACAGAAUAAGCACCGGCUAACUACGUGCCAGCAGCCGCGGUAAUAC
rnacentral:rRNA from 1 species